CAUAUGCAUCCUGAGUGUCAUUUGCUAGUCUAUCCUACUGGUGGAAUGGAAUAUGAUCAAAUGUUACCAACAACCUGGUACAGUUGCUACCUACCACAAGCUCACCAUGACCUUUCUGAGAUUCCAGAAGCACUUGUGAGAGGAGGCAGAUGAGCUCUAUUGGCAUUGCUUCACUUGAAGAGAAAAAAGUGAUCUCUCCACAGCCUUUCAGAUUUGGUUUCUGAUUAACUGCAAACAAUGUAACAACUUGCAAUAUUUAAUAUUGUCCUACCAGAGCUUAUAAUUACAUGUUUGCUAGGAUGCACUGUCUUUACUUUCUUAAAGAUAUAAAGCUGUGGAUACUUUGUAUAUUGUAAUUUAUCAAAGUUUAGAAGCAUAUAUGAACUUUAGCUACAGAUUAAUAACUGCA